rnacentral:rRNA from 1 species
GACGAACGCUGGCGGCGUGCCUAAUACAUGCAAGUCGAGCGAGCUUGCCUAGAUGAUUUUAGUGCUUGCACUAAAUGAAACUAGAUACAAGCGAGCGGCGGACGGGUGAGUAACACGUGGGUGACCUGCCCUGCACUUCGGGAUAAGCCUGGGAAACUGGGUCUAAUACCGGAUAGGACUGCACCGUGAGGGUGUGGUGGAAAGUUUUUUCGGUGUGGGAUGGGCCCGCGGCCUAUCAGCUUGUUGGUGGGGUAAUGGCCUACCAAGGCGGCGACGGGUAGCCGGCCUGAGAGGGUGGACGGCCACAUUGGGACUGAGACACGGCCCAG